AAUAUCAAUGCUUCCCGGGUUUUUAAACAAGUUUGUCAUUUAAAUUUGUAAAAUCCUCACGCCGUAAAAUAUUUACAAUUUUGUUUGGAUUUUUUUUUUUUUUUUUUUUGUGCGUAGGCCGUUAUUUGAUAAUCACAUGAAAUAGUGGUGAUAUUUUAAAAAUAUUCUAAAUAUUAUGUAUACGAUUAUUUAAACGAUUAAUAACUGAAUAAAAUCCAAAAUCAUAUUUACUCGAAAUU